rnacentral:rRNA from 1 species
AUACGUAGGUGACAAGCGUUAUCCGGAUUUACUGGGCGUAAAGGGCGUGUAGGCGGUCUUGCAAGUCAGAAGUGAAAUUCCUGAGCUCAACUCGGGCGCUGCUUCUGAAACUGAAGGACUUGAGUGCUGGAGGGGAUAGCGGAAAUCCACGUGGAGCGGUAAAAUGCGCAGAUAUUAGGAAGAACACCGGUGGCGAAGGCGGCUAUCUGGACAGUAACUGACGCUGAGGCGCGAAAGCGUGGGGAGCAAACAGGAUUAGAUACCCUGGUAGUCCACGUCGUAAACGAUGAAUACUAGGUGUGGGGGGUAUCGACUCCCUCUGUGCCGCAGUUAACACAAUAAGUAUUCCGCCUGGGGAGUACGGCCGCAAGGUUGAAACUCAAAUGAAUUGACGGGG